GGGGGUGUAGCUCAGUUGGUUAGAGCGCUGGCCUGUCAAGCCAGAGGUCGCGGGUUCGAGCCCCGUCACUCCCGCCA
rnacentral:tRNA from 5 species